rnacentral:lncRNA from 1 species
GCAAAGAAAGCCUCGGUCACAGAGGAUGAGAGUUGAUGAGAGUUGCAACUCUCGCUCGCGUUUGAGCGCCAAUUCUCAUCGACUUUGAACUGGUUCAAAUUUUGAUGAGAGUUGACGAGAGUUUGUCUCGUUUGACUGACAAUGUCUUGAAUCCACUCCAAUUUAAGUGUUAUUCUGUCAACAAAAAUGGUGAAAGAAUAACAUUGAGUUGAUCC